rnacentral:rRNA from 1 species
AGAGUUUGAUCCUGGCUCAGGAUGAACGCUAGCGGCAGGCUUAAUACAUGCAAGUCGAGGGGCAACAGGGGUAGCAAUACCUGCUGGCGACCGGCAAACGGGUGCGGAACACGUACAGAACCUUCCUUUAAGUGGGGGGAUAGCCCGGAGAAAUCCGGAUUAAUACCCCGUAACAUUAUUGAUGUGGCAUCACAUUAUAAUUAUAGAUUUAUCGCUUAGAGAUGGCUGUGCGGCUGAUUAGGUAGUUGGUGUAGGUAAAGGCUCACCAAGCCAACGAUCAGUAACUGGUGUGAGAGCACGACCAGUCACACGGGCACUGAGACACGGGCCCGACUCCUACGGGAGGCAGCAGUAAGGAAUAUUGGUCAAUGGACGCAAGUCUGAACCAGCCAUGCCGCGUGAAGGAUGAAGGCCCUCUGGGUUGUAAACUUCUUUUAUGUGGGAAGAAAUGCAUUUAAUCUUAAAUGUUUGACGGUACCAUAGGAAUAAGCACCGGCUAACUCCGUGCCAGCAGCCGCGGUAAUACGGAGGGUGCAAGCGUUAUCCGGAUUCACUGGGUUUAAAGGGUGCGUAGGUGGGCUUGUAAGUCAGUGGUGAAAUCUCCGUGCUUAACAUGGAAACUGCCAUUGAUACUAUAGGUCUUGAAUUAUCUGGAGGUCAGCGGAAUAUCAUGUAGCGGUGAAAUGCUUAGAUAUGACAUAGAACACCAAUUGCGAAGGCAGCUGGCUACAGGUAUAUUGACACUGAGGCACGAAAGCGUGGGGAUCAAACAGGAUUAGAUACCCUAGUAGUCC